GGUGACAUAGCUCAAUGGUAGAGCGGGGGCCUCAUACGCCUCAGGUUCUUGGUUCGAGUCCAAGUGUCACCU
rnacentral:tRNA from 6 species